rnacentral:misc_RNA from 1 species
CAAAUGCGAUAAGUAAUGUGAAUUGCAGAAUUCAGUGAAUCAUCGAAUCUUUGAACGCACCUUGCGCUCCUUGGUAUUCCUUGGAGCAUGCCUGUUUGAGUAUCAUGAAAUCUUCAAAGUAAAUCUUUUGUUAACUCAAUUGGUUUCUACUUUGGUAUUGGAGGUCUUUGCAGCUUCACACCUGCUCCUCUUUGUUCAUUAGCUGGAUCUCAGUGUUAUGCUUGGUUCCACUCGGCGUGAUAAGUUAUCUAUCGCUGAGGACACUGUAAAAGGUGGCCAAGGUAAAUGCAGAUGAACCGCUUCUAAUAGUCCAUUGACUUGGACAAUACUUUUAUGAUCUGAUCUCAAAUCAGGUAGGACUACCCGCUGAACUUAAGC